rnacentral:lncRNA from 1 species
AGUUUUUUUCUAUGUUCAUGACAUCCAGGUUAUGUCUUAGCAAGUUGUCUUUCCAAUAGGGAAGAUCCCAAAAUAUGCUUCUUUUUGUCCAAUUAUGCCAUUCUUCAAACCCAUCUAUCCUAUGCUGUCCAAAUUCAGUGACUUUUUGGAUAGUCCUUAACUCUUCUCCAAACGUGUGAUCCGGUCAACUUCGGCAGGGGCAUAUCUGUUUCGACUUGCCCUUUCCGAAAUGCCUUUUUGUUUCUUCUAAAGGGGCGAUCGAUAGGCAAGAAUCGUCGAUGACAGUCAAACCAACUACUUUUCCGACCAUAACUCAAUUGGAAUGACUUCGUAUGUUCCAUGCAAUGNGGACAAGCUAAUCGACCAUGCGUGCUCCAACCAGAUAACAUGCCAUACGCUGGAAAGUCAUUAAUAGUCCACAUCAAAGCUGCCCUCAUAAGGAAAUUUUGCUUCCNNN